CUCAGAACCUUGUGCUUGCAAGACAGGCGGCGGAACCACUGAGCUAAAUCCUCAGCCCCUAAUUUUAUAUACUUAACAAAUAUUUAUGUGCCAGUUAUUACAAGAGUUUGUGGAUAUAAACUCAUUUAACCAUAAGGGUUUGGACCCAGGACCUUUGCACUGAGCUACAUCCCCAGCCCUUCUUAUUUUUCAUUUUGACACAAGGUUUCUCUAAGUUGCCCAGAUGGGAUUUGAACUUGUGGUCCUCCUGCUUUAACCUCCCAGAAUGCUGGGAUUAUAGGCUGAGAAGUCCAAGAGCAUGGCACCAGCAACCAGUGAGGCCCUUCAUGCUGGAUCAUUUCAUGAUGGAAGGUGGAAGGGCAAGAGAAGACAAGCUCAUUUUGGUAUCAAGUCCUCCACUUCAGUAGGAAGUCAGACAAAGACUUUUUCUGAGCUUCUUGACCAG
rnacentral:lncRNA from 1 species